rnacentral:rRNA from 1 species
UACAGAGGUGGCAAGCGUUGUUCGGAAUUACUGGGCGUAAAGGGCGCGUAGGCGGGCAUUCAAGUCUGUGGUGAAAUCCGGCAGCUUAACUGUCGAAUUGCCAUGGAUACUGGGUGUCUCGAGGGAGGCAGGGGUGCGCGGAACUAAUGGUGGAGCGGUGAAAUGCGUUGAUAUCAUUAGGAACUCCGGUGGCGAAGGCGGCGCACUGGUCCUUUUCUGACGCUGAGGGACGAAAGCCAGGGGAGCGAACGGG